rnacentral:misc_RNA from 1 species
UUUCCGUAGGUGAACCUGCGGAAGGAUCAUUACCUGGCCUUGGGCCACUCCUGCAUGGCGGUCACGCCUUCGGGGGUGCUUAGCCCUUGACUAUCACCUUGACUAUGCGUACCUUUGUUGUUUCCUCGGCAGGCUUCCUGCCGAUGGAACCCUUUACAACCCUUUUGCAGUAGCAUCAAACUGAAACAAACCACAAUUAUUUACAACUUUCAACAAUGGAUCUCUUGGUUCUGGCAUCGAUGAAGAACGCAGC